rnacentral:sRNA from 2 species
UUCGAUGCGUAAGGGAUAGCAGCGGCAUCCUUUUUUGAGGCUUUUUUUGAAAAGGAAUAUAAAAAGAUAUAGCGGAUAGCCUGGUUGUAA